rnacentral:lncRNA from 1 species
GAUAAGCAAGUGAAGUUUAUAUAGGCUCGGCUUCAGUGUUUUAGAAGAGAAAAAAGCAAACCAACAUACGUGAUUCAUCAUUAAGAAUCAGAAACAAGACACUGCACCAAGUUUCUUCGACUAUGAUUCUCAAUUAAAACUUGAACCGUGCAAUCUAGUUGGAAGAUUCUUAGCAACUCAGUAUAAAUUAGGAGGAGAGUUACCUUCUAAUGCAUUCUCUAGCAUCCUUUUAACGAUUUCCACUGAAGAAUCUUCAACAAGAGUGAGGAGAUGCUUCCCAAUUGCUUCAUCAACCGAAAGACCAGUCAACUCAGCAAUCUUUGUGUUCCAACCAUUAACCAAUCCAUCAGAAUCAACCGCCAAUAUUGGCACCGUAGCAGUCUCAAUUAAACGAACCAUCUCACUGGUCACAGCUUCUAGUUCUUGUAUACCAUCAAUUUUAAGAUCAUUUAGCUUAGAGUGAAUGACCUUUGUAUUCAUAUCGGUAGUCUCACCAUCCUUGAAAGCAUUCCUCAGAAUAAGCUGCAAGGAGUGUAUUGCAUCCAUCUCAUAGUCCUUCCAAGGUAAACUUCUUGUCUUGACCACUUCAAGAAAAGCCUUGAACGAUGACCUCGGGUGCAUUCUCCUUGCAUCAUCCCUAUCAUCUGGGUCAUGCUUGGCACCUCCCCAUCUCACUUCACCAGCGGUAUGAGAACGGAACCAGAAAAUCAUGUCUUUCGAUGAUAUCCUUACAGCUGCCAUUCCACAUACUGAAUCCCCAAGAGAUAGAGCCCUCGGAAACCCAGCGUCAUGCAAACUAUCAGUGCUCAAACCUGUUGAAUCCGUGUGGUAUUCACACAACCAUGAAGCUAACUCCUGUAGAUGGAACUCACUUGGAGUUGUUCCCAGUUUCCAUAUCUUGUCUUUAUACAAGAGUGCUGCUCCAUCACAUUUCACCAGGUCCAUUAUGUUGGGGCUCUGCGACACAAUACCCAGUGGAGCAUCACGCAUCAGCAUAUCACACAAGAGUGUCUGUGUGCGCAAAAUGUUCUUCUCCACAAUUUGGUUCUCCAGUUCCACCUCUUUAUUGACGUGUAUCGCAAACACUUGAGCUAAGAACUCACAGGCAUACCUGAGAGGAAAUGGAACAAAUCUAGGAGUCGUAUUAUGACAAACCACUAAACCCCAUAAUCUCUUUCUCUUCUGAGGCUGUGUAGUAGAAUCAGGAGCAUCCCCUUCUCCAUCUUCCUCGUUAACAACAACCGCCAUAACCAGAGAUGCAAUUGAAUCCAUGUUGGCCAUGUACUGCAAAUGGCAACUGUGCGGUGCUCUGAGGGUAGAACCACACAAGGUAAGAUCAAAGGAAAGCUUUUCAUCUUGAAGCACCCUAGCAUGUUUUGCAUUGCAAUCAACGAUCAUCCGGACCUUGUUCUUCAUAAACAGAAAACGGGCUGCUUGAGGGAUGUCGGUGGCUGGAUAAUGCAGACCAAGAUAAGGCUCCAGCCCAGGUUUUGUAACCUCGGAGACAACCUCACCGUGAUCAUCUUCAUGAAACUUAUAAGCCAUCACCCUGUCAUACCCCGUGAGUUCAAAAACCUCCUGUACCAUUGUAUCACAAAGCCUUUCCAUGCUUCCACUGGGCAAAGAUUGCAGCCUAGUGAUUGCUUUGGCAGCGAGCUUAUAUGAUUGUAAGGCACCAGCAGCUGUCAUCGGAACUUCAUAAGGCUUUACCGGUUCAAAGUCGACAAUGAUACUCCCUGUAACCCUGUGGACAAUCGCAUAAAAGGGCUUUGCAGAAGUCUUGCAGUGCACAAGAAUGGGAUUCAACAGAGAGACAUCUCCAAAUCCAAGGGCUUUCUGCAAUGCAGAUGCACUAGGAGCAGUGAAAAGACUCCUUAUAUCUGUUCCAAUGCCUAGAACAGGGUGUUCGCCAACACUAGGAACUGCAUGACUGGUCAUUGUCAACAACUCCGGAGCAUUCUCGCUGUAUGCAAUGACUUUGAAAGUCUUCUCAUCCAAGGCAAGCAAACAACCAAAGGGCUGAAUCAGCUUUCCCUUCUGUAUGUGAUGAAGAUAAGUCGUGGUCACCUUGUCAGACCUCGGUGGCUGGUUCUCCACAACCGGGCCAGUGACACGCACCGAGGUUGAGUAAUCAAAGGAACUGCCUGACUCCUCAAAAUCAGCAUGGAGCUUCGCAUCUACAGUGGUCUGCGCAAUGAUUCUAGCGCUGUGCCUUGAUCGCCUUGAGCCCUCAGAGGACUGACUCGGCCUAGACCCUGACAUUGUUUUCCUGACGGAGAGACAAGACAACAAAAUUAAGUGCAAAAAUUUUGUAAAGAGGAAAAUAUUCAUGCGGUAAUCAUAUGAACACAAAAGCACCAGUCAUAGAAGAAAAUGCAUAAGCAUAAACUUAAAACACUAAGAAUCAAGAAUUUUCAAACACUAAAUUGUCGCUACAGCUCAAGUUCCUUUCAAAGUAAAAAGAGGCAUGGACUACUAGAGUAACUCAAUCGAGAAAGUCUGCCUAGCUAAAACCAAAAACAGGACACAACAGGUGCAGGAAUCAUUCUGCUAUAUUCCACUAUUCAAUGAUUUACCAUUCUCAAAGCAACUGAGCCAACUUAAGUAUGAUGUGUAAGGACAUAGCUAAGGAGUCAAUAUUCCAUGAACACUAUCAAUUGAAGUCAUCCAAAAAUCCAAAAUCAACAAGAUGGGACAAUUAACAUGUCGCACAAAUGGUCGUAGAUACUCAACAGGGACCAUCAACUUGACAGAUACUAACAAUAGCGAGGAUCAGAGAAAAAUGAUGCCUUUCAACAUCCAAACACAGCUAAGCAAUACAUAAAAUAGACUUGAUAUAAACUCUUGAGAGUCUUUAUAGUUAUACCUUUCAGAAAGGAGUAAUAAAGUCCCACAGCGAAAGCAAUCUUAAAAAUGACGAGAGCUAGGAUGAGAUAAAUUGGAUGCUUCUUCUCAUAAAUGAUCAGAGGCUACAAAAUCUGAGUAAAACAAGCACACAUCAAGCCAGAUCAAAAGAGACCUACAAAAAUCUUUUAUUGGCAGAAAACACGGAGUCAAUAGAGAAAUAGCUUAAAACUAAUUAACUUCAAAGUAAGGAUUGGAUUAAUCACAAAAGUAACGCAACCCCCGGAAGAGCUUACAGAGUAUAAAGAGUGAGUCUAGUUGCUGCUAAGCUCUAAGCAGAAAACAAUGGAAGAAAGCUUCAACAUAUAUAUAUACAAAUAAAGAAAGGAGGAAACUUUGGGAAAGGGAAAGUAGCUACCUUUAAAGAGAAGAAAGAAGAAGAAGAAGAGGAAGAUUCAAGAAACCAUGAUCAGAUCUUGUCUAGUCACACUCUUCAGAAGUUUUUUUCUUGGGUUGGUUUAGUUAUACUAAAUCUAGACCUCGAUCACCGCCUCUUCUCUCUGGUCUGCUACGUCUCUCUACUCUCUAUUAUUUGUGCUCCCUAACACAGACGACGACGAUGAAGGGACCACCCAAAUACGUAUGCCCAUGUCUCAGAGUAUGGGCAAAUUGUUAUAUAGUAUAUUAUAAUCGAAUAAAAAUAAAAGAUAAAAAAGCUUAAUUUGGAUAAAAGACAAAUCUCACACACAAAUCAAGAACAGGGUCGGCUUCGCCGGUAACAGUUUGCUCACUAAAACAGAACAGUAAGCGAAGAUAUGAUAUACUUAUAUAUAAAAAAAAAGUUGGCACCUUUCUGGAAUUCAAAGAAAAAAAAAAGAGAGUCUUUUAAUGGAAUUUUUAAAGUUUUAGAUAUUUUUCACCGAUGUGAGUAAGAGUAAGACUGGGUAAUGAGGAGAAAAAAAAAACAGUAAAGUGGAAGAACAAAGUUGAGGGGUGAUCUUCUUUAAAUUAGAUUAGAUUUGAAGAGAAUCAUACAAUAAGAUAAGAUGAAAAGUAAAAAGGAUUAUUAAUAUAAAAACAAGAAAGAGAGAUGGGAAGGAGGGAAGGGGGUAGUUGUUUAAUGAAGGCAAUAACCAGAAGUGGAAAGUUGUGUUUGGGGAAGACGACAAGGAUGGUCUUAUGGGCUUCACGUUUUCUCGGCUUUUUGCGUUUUGUUAUCUGCUUCUCUUAUUUAACUUCAUUUGUAGGGACUUUCCUUUUUUGUAUUUCUUAUUUUUUUUAUCAAUUUCCAAAUUAACAUCAAAUCUCAUCUUUAAUUAAAGUGGAAACUUCCUUCUUCCAUUAUUUUCGAACUUUGAUUCUUCUUAUCCAUCCAUGGGAAUGACACAUCGGGAUAUUUUCACCAAACCACGCUAUCAUGAUCACUUCUUAUUAGCUAUUGUAUCUAUCGUCUUUGUUAUAUUCUUCCACUAAGAAAAUUUCACAUGGAUAUUGUGAUAUAUAUAUAACAAACUCUGCAAAAUUUACUUCAGGAUUGUCUAAAGAUGAUCAUGUCCAAAACAAACUCCGCAAGUUUUAGUUCAAGAUUGUCUAAAGAUGAUCAUGUCCAAAAAAGGAAUCGACAACGUCUCAUCUAGACAGCGCAACUUCACUUAGAUAUUGUGGCACAGCUAUGUUGGACCAAAAGAGUGCCUCUAUAAUGCAAACGUCCUCCAAGCAAAACAGCCAUGAUCCAUUAGACAGUCAUGGCCCAUGUUGCGUGUCUGGAUUGUCAAAAUUCUAUCUUCUAGAUCCCAUUUCAGGAAGAAGAACACUUGAGGAACUGAACAGAUGUGAUUUGAGUGGGGUUAUAGCUAUUUGGAGAGGUUUUAACGGCCUAGAACUAUCCAAUCCUUGAGAGGAUUUGGAACAUUAAGAGUUAAAGACACAUUUUGGGAGCUUUUUUCUGAAUCUGAACUCUAAAAACAACUGUCCGGUACCAUAUGUUACUUUGUUUUACAUGCAAGUACCAAGAGUAAAGAAAAGGGUCCUUAUAUAGAAACAAAAAUGACCUGUUAACGGUCAAUGUAAAGAGAACAGUUAAAUCUGUUCAGUCAAUCUUUACAGUAACAACAAAAAUGUCAAUAGGUACUUUAUGUAUCUUUAAGAAGCACAAAAGGAUGGUCGAAAGCAAAAGACUAAUCAUAUUGUUCAGUUUCAUAGAACCAUGCACAACAGAGAGAAGAAAAAUCGGAAUGUUCUUCUUCUUUUUGAAUGAAUCAGUCUCUGCGACUCUGCAAAGCAUCCUCGAGAUCAAGUUCUAACCCAACACGAUUCCUUAUAGACGCAGCUGCGUGACAAGACGACGUCGUUUUACACAUCCUCUCCAAUUCCUUAAACCUCUCACAGUCAAACUUGUGACUCUUCAACAGCUUCCUCUGCCUCGACAAGAACAGUCUCUUCAUGAAAUCCUGAUAUGUGGGAUCCCUCGAAGUCAUCAAGAAAUAAGCAUAACCCACGAUGAUGCCAGUCGCUGUAGCGAAGAAAGUGAUUGGUUCCAUCACAUCCCAUGAGAAUUCCCAGAAAGUUAAUCUAAAAAAGAGCCCAAUUUGAACCAUGGAAGUAGCCAAACCACACCAAAGAAUCUUCCUCACUUGUCUAUGAGCAAGAACAUCAAUCUCUUCUUUCAUGGUUCUCAGCUUAUUGAAUUCGUCUUUUAUCUGAUCUUCCUCUGGAUUCUGAUCCAAAGGCAUCGCCCGUCUAAUCAGAUCCACCACCUAAAAACAAAAGUCCAGAUUUUUAGAGAAAUCGAGAAGAAGAUAGAACAGAGUAAAGUUUCGUUUUUUCCGAGGUUUGAAAAAAGACCUUAUCUGGGUGAAGAAAGACUUUAUCACGAAAAAUCAAGACAACGCCAGCAUCGUCGAGAACACGAGCAAAGAUGUGAGCUUCAUCAGGAGAUCUAGCGAUACCCAUUCCUUGAGAAGCUUCUAAAAGUGAAGUGUAAGAGACGACAUCUCUAUCAGCCAUACCAACAAGCUUCUUCUUCAUGUCUUCAACAUUUACAAGCCUCAUCAGCUUCUUCGCUUCCGCUAUAGUUACCUCUGUCUUCUUCUUCUCUUCCUCAUCCGACGGCGGUGUAUUGACGGUGACGCAGCUUCUUGAUCCACCAUGGACAAGCCAUGUCCUUUGUGAAGAAGCUCUGAUGGCGCUGGACAUUGCCGUACGCCUGAGCAAACCCAUUGACCACAUUACGAACCCACGAAUCUGAAGAUCUGAGAUAUUCGAGAAAGCGAAACCAGAAAAAAGUUAGGUUCGCAAAUCAAAGAUUAAAAGAUAUGAGAAUCAAGAAAAGGUGUGUGAUACGAUUCCAAACAAAGUGACUUAACACGUUUAAUUACGAAUCUCAGAUUCUUCUAUUAUAAUUAAGAGAUUAUUAGGAAAAUCGAAAGAGAACAAAAAAAGGAAAAGAGAGGAGAAGCACGUAGCCAUUUGCUUUUUAUCUAUAGAAUUUUGGAAAAAAGGUAAAAAAAAAAAAGAAAGAUUGGUAGGUAUGAUAAGAUUGUUGUUGACUUGGCAUGAAAUAUGGCUUUUACAUAUCCCAAUCAACUCUCAGAUAACUCAAAAUCAAUUUGAUUUGUUUGGUGGAAGUAUACAAUAAUAAAGUACUAAUUGUGGGAUCUUGUUUAGUUUAUAUCCAACCACCAUUCUGACAAAAAAAAGAAACAGAUAAUGAUCCAAACAAACAAACAAGUCCCUUUGUUAGUUUGAGUUGAGGAGUUGAGAGAGACCAAUCCUUUUCAUCGGAGUUGAAUUUGACAUCAAGUUACUUCACUAUAUAGCACAUUACAAAACAACACGUAUCCCUGACUUAAGAAAGAACAAACAUUUGUUUUUAUUACAUCAAGUAACAACAACAACAACUUGUUGCCAACACAUUUCCUUCAAUUUAUCAUAUUACGCGGAAUGAUGAAUUCAUUCUCCACGAGUGUACGCAAGCAAAUUCUUUCUUCUGUUCAAUUAUAUAUUUUAUAGCAUGAAAACGUGGAAUCCCUAAUUAGAAACACAUAUUCCUAGCUUUCAAUUCGAUCAUAUUCGUUGUGAAAGCGCUUUAAAAGCUAGUUUGAAGCAUAUGACACAAACAACCAAACGAAAGCGUACGUAGAGAAAACGCAGAUAAACAAAGAAACACCACAAUCGUUUUGCACUGCCACGACAAGAAACACAAAUAAAAAUUGACAAUUUGAUUGUAGAGAAAAACAAACCUAAUUACAUUUAGGGAGAUCGGAAAAUCAUCAUCUAUGAAUGACAUACCUGAAAAAGUACUUCGACAGUUUUUGUUCUCUUAUGAUAUUUAAUGUGAAUGAUGAAGAAGAAAAUAAUGUUAAGCACUAUGUCCACCACCACGGCUUGAGAGUUUUUGCAUUGUUCUUGAGAAGAAAGCGAGAUUAGUUGUUAAGUUAUGCUCUCUCUUGUUUUGCCGUUUUUAUCUCCUGACCACUGCUUAAGGGCCAAAUCCGUUUUUAUAGUAGUAUGCCCCCCUGCCUAAAAAUUAAAUAUGAUGAUGAUUACGUAAAACACGACUUUCAUGAGUCAUUUAAUGCUAGAUUAUGAGCUGACGACUUUGCAAUAGGUUUACCACUUCCGUAAAUGGAUAAGUUAUUAAAACCAUAUUAAACAAUGACAUGAUGACUUGUAUUAAUGUAUCGUACCAGAUUUCUAAUUAACAAUAAUAGUUAGCCUGGCCGUACGAAUACGAUUGUUAAAGAUGUUUGUUUUUAAUCCCCUCAUGCAAUAGUUUAAGUUUUGCUAAUUUGUCUUUUAAAAACAAAAAGGAACUGCACAGAUCUAUAAAAAAAGUUUAUAGAGACUCUGCCAAAUCUUGUCUUUAUGACUCCAAACUGCACGAAUAUAUGAGAUAAGAAUUUAAAAAAAAAAAAAAAAAACAAUUGCGAAAUGAGAUUAGAAAAGGCAACUAGUUGAAAUGUGUUGUUUAAUGUUUUCUUAAAUAAACCACAUCAAAGUAAUUACUUAUUUAGAUCUAUAUUGGACCCAAAGCACAUCACUUGGGCUCAAUUCUCAAGCCCAUGAAGUAGCCUCAUCAAGGCCCAAUCAAAUCGUCUACACUGCAUCCCAAGAACAAAGAAAAAAAGAAAAGUACUUGGAGCAAAGAUCUGGCCACCAGAACACAAACGAUCGAUGAAUACAAUCGGAAAGUCUGAAAGCUCGAUGAAGAUGACUUCUAAGAUGCGCCGUGGCUUACCGACGGCGUUCAUUCUCUUCUUCCUGGUUCCGGUAUUGAUUCCGGUCGGCGAGGCGGUAUGGCUAGAUGUGCCUCCCACCGGGACAAAGUGUGUAUCUGAAGAAAUCCAGAGCAAUGUCGUCGUUUUGGCUGAUUACCUCAUCAUCUCUGAGGAUCAUGGCGUCAUGCCCACUAUCUCCGCCAAGGUAUCUUUCUUCGAUUUCCUGUUCCGAUCAUCUGUGCAUGACUGCAUUAUGUAUCUGUUACUAGAUCCCUAGUUUCACCUGAUCCAUUUAGUCGUUUCCCUCAAUUAAUUACACGUAAUUAGGAACAAUUGUAUAUUUAUGAUCGAUCGAAGUUUCCUUUUUUGGAUAAUUGUGCUCAUGAUGAUAUGUAACAACAUGUCUAUCUUUGAUUGUUCUGAUGAGUUUCGGUUUUAUUUUAGAUUUGCAUUCAAAAAUUUUGGGUUAAUUAAUGAAGGGAGCUUCAACUAAGUGUACUCUCUCUCUUUUGGUACUCUUUGGUUAUCUCAUCUUUGCAGUGAAACACAAAUACAUUUGGUAAUAGUUUUUGCUAGUUCCAUAUUGUUUGAUGAAUUGUUUUAGAUAAUGUCAUUGGAUUGAGGGCUGUCUUUGAAGUCGAACUUGAAUAUAGCUAUCAAAAUAUUGAAAUGUACUGGUCCUGGCUAGUAUCUUCUGUUUCUUGGCUCUGAGUUUUGAGAAUCUUUAUGGUGCAGGUGACAUCCCCAUAUGGCAACGUUCUGCACCACAUGGAAAAUGUAACGCAUGGCCAAUUUGCAUUUACAACCCAAGAAUCCGGGAACUACUUGGCGUGCUUUUGGGCAGAUGCAAAGAGUCACGGAAACCAAAAUGUUAGCAUCAACAUUGACUGGAAAACUGGAAUAGCUGCUAAGGAUUGGACCUCUAUUGCUAAGAAAGAGAAGAUCGAGGUGAGCUUCCACAGGGAUUUUACAGUUCAGAGAGCGGAUGCCUAUGUUAUGAUUCAGAAAAUCUGUAAAGUUUGUUUCUUUAUGACAUUUGGUUUGCUUGAUAACAUAGGGUGUGGAGCUGGAGAUCAGGAAACUAGAAGGUGCAGUUGAAGCCAUCCAUGAAAAUCUACUCUACCUAAGAAACAGGUACAUUUAGCUACAUUUACAACUGCUCAUGUCUUCUUGGUUGGUUGAUAAAAGUUUUGUGGAUCAAAAUGCAAUUUUUGCAGAGAAGCAGAGAUGAGGACAGUGAGUGAGAACACGAACUCGCGGGUGGCUUGGUACAGUAUAAUGUCGCUGGGUAUUUGCAUCGCCGUCUCUGGUCUACAAGUAGUCUACUUGAAGCAGUACUUUGAGAAGAAGAAGCUUAUAUAGAGAUUCACUGAUCUUCAAUUCCAUUGCUUAGAGAAUAAUAUUCAAUUCUUUCUCGUUUACACGCUUUUUUUUUACUGACGCUGUAAAAUUUUGCUCAUGGGAUUUCCUGUAGCUUCUCUCUGAUAAGUAAUCAUUCUUUAUAACUCAUAAAACUGAAGAAAAGAAGAAUCAAGCUCCCAAUGAUAUAGAUUUUCCAAGAACCAUUGAUACUGGGUGUGAUUUGAACUUUAUGUUAGUUUGGGGCGAUAACACAAGUUUUACAGUAUAAGGAUUACCUUGACAAUAAAAACCUUGGUCGAUAAGACGAUGAGUUUAUUCAAAUGGGCAUGUAUGUACGUAUAAGCCCAACGUUCUGAUCCAACAGGGCCCGUUUAGAAAAACAAACCCUAAUAUCAAAGAGAUAUAAAUAAACCCUAAUCACAUUUCGCAUCCUCCUGAGAGACGGAAAAAUGCCGGCAGGUCAUGGAGUUCGGGCGAGAACGAGGGAUCUGUUNNNNNNNNNNNNNNNNNNNNNNNNNNNNNNNNNNNNNNNNNNNNNNNNNNNNNNNNNNNNNNNNNNNNNNNNNNNNNNNNNNNNNNNNNNNNNNNNNNNNNNNNNNNNNNNNNNNNNNNNNNNNNNNNNNNNNNNNNNNNNNNNNNNNNNNNNNNNNNNNNNNNNNNNNNNNNNNNNNNNNNNNNNNNNNNNNNNNNNNNNNNNNNNNNNNNNNNNNNNNNNNNNNNNNNNNNNNNNNNNNNNNNNNNNNNNNNNNNNNNNNNNNNNNNNNNNNNNNNNNNNNNNNNNNNNNNNNNNNNNNNNNNNNNNNNNNNNNNNNNNNNNNNNNNNNNNNNNNNNNNNNNNNNNNNNNNNNNNNNNNNNNNNNNNNNNNNNNNNNNNNNNNNNNNNNNNNNNNNNNNNNNNNNNNNNNNNNNNNNNNNNNNNNNNNNNNNNNNNNNNNNNNNNNNNNNNNNNNNNNNNNNNNNNNNNNNNNNNNNNNNNNNNNNNNNNNNNNNNNNNNNNNNNNNNNNNNNNNNNNNNNNNNNNNNNNNNNNNNNNNNNNNNNNNNNNNNNNNNNNNNNNNNNNNNNNNNNNNNNNNNNNNNNNNNNNNNNNNNNNNNNNNNNNNNNNNNNNNNNNNNNNNNNNNNNNNNNNNNNNNNNNNNNNNNNNNNNNNNNNNNNNNNNNNNNNNNNNNNNNNNNNNNNNNNNNNNNNNNNNNNNNNNNNNNNNNNNNNNNNNNNNNNNNNNNNNNNNNNNNNNNNNNNNNNNNNNNNNNNNNNNNNNNNNNNNNNNNNNNNNNNNNNNNNNNNNNNNNNNNNNNNNNNNNNNNNNNNNNNNNNNNNNNNNNNNNNNNNNNNNNNNNNNNNNNNNNNNNNNNNNNNNNNNNNNNNNNNNNNCCAGGAUUCAUGGUUGAAGGCAUGACCUUGGAGACUGUCACUCCAAUCCCGUACGAUGUCGUCAACGAUCUCAAGGGGGGCUAUUAGUUCUACUUUCUUGCGUGUUUUGGAGCUCUUCCUUUAUAUGUUUUGUAGCGACUUCAAAUUUUUGUUUUCGACUACGAAUAUGAUUUAUAUAACAGGAGUUUUGCAGUAUUAUUUAUUUUUGUUAUUGUUUGAUUUGUUUCUUCCAGUUUCUAAAUCUCAUGUGAAAUUAACUCUUUUGAGCCUAAUCGAAGAUACUCUUGAGUUUUGAUGCGGUAAAAGGAAGUUGAUAUUGUCUGGUAAACAAGCUAAGACCUUAAACUUCUUCUUGGAUCAGUUGGGUGCAAGAGGAAUAGAGUUGCAUGCGUAAAGGGGAAAUGUUGAGCUUCUUGACAGAAAAUGGAACUUUCUAGAAGUCGAUACGGUGGACUCUUCUCCAGCUAUACCACUCGUGUUACUUUGAUAUAUUCUACUGCAGAUUCCAUUCCCAGGUAAUCUUUAUUCAACUUUUGUUUACCGCUCUGGUCUUCCGUUGAGAAACAAAUGAUAGAUAAAUCCAUGUUUUCCUAUUCGAGAGACACAAAAAUAUGCAACCUUCUCAGAUUUUCAAACACUUAGCUCUAUAGAGACAGAUUGAAAAACCAGCUGCUUCCUCUUCAUUUUUUUUUUUUCUCCUGUCAACAUUUUCGUUAUUUCUGUUUUUUUUAAAGAUUGAACUUCCUAAAAUAGAUAAAAACAAUGAAACUUCAGUUCAUCCGUUGCUGUCCUAAAUUUCUCAUUUUCUCAUAGGCGGCUAUUCGCAAUUUUAGGAAUCCACUCAAGACUCCUUAUUUCUCUCUCUCUCCAUUUAAUCUUACCAUGAUUUUUUUUUCUCUCUCUCUGCUGACCCAAGCCAACCUUUGAUUCUCUAAUUCAAUUUGUUUUCUUAAAAAAAAAAAAAAAAAAUUUGCCACCCAAAGAAUACGAAUCCUUGUUUGAAUCCACCACAUUUCGAAAUCAUUCUUGCUGAACUCAUAUUUUCCAGUUUUCUCUUUUUGUUUCCCCCCUUCUUCUAUCCUACGUUAGAUUUUAAGAUCUGUGUUAAUCCCAAUAAGUUUGGUUGCUGCUGUUAAGAGAUUUCAGAAACAAUUUGGUCUAAAGAUCAAAAAAACACAUUUUCAUCCAAAAGCUCGAAUUUUUAUCCCCUGUGGGGAAUUGGUUGUGGUGGGUGCAAUUUCAUUCCUCAGUGAAGAAUAAAGAAAGAUUAGGAGGCUAAUUAAAACAUACAGUUUCCUGAUUCCGAUCAGGAAACUGUGGACUGUUCACGGAAUCACGAAACUCUGUAGAAUUAUGGGAUGCAACUGCACCAAAGGAACACGAGCAAAUGAUCACGUGGAGAACAACACGAAUGUUACUGGGAGGGAGAGACGAAGCAAGAAGCCUAAGACAAAGAAAACCUCCAACAAGAAGAAAAAGUCUGCUUCCUCUAGCAAUGUAGGAGCAGAGGAAAGAGGCAACAACAACGAAUCCACAUUGAGGUUUUUGAUGCCCAUUGAUGCCAAGGACAAUGAUGAUGCGGAGAAGAAGGUGAAUCUUGAGAGAAAAUCUUCUAGAUCGGUGUUUCAGAGACGCCCCACCACCCUUGAGGUGGCAGGGACAUUGCAACAACCUAAGAUGACUAGAAUAUGCAGUAUUACUAAUGGAGAAAGAGGUGCUCAGGUUAUGGCUGGUUGGCCUUCUUGGUUGGCUUCUGUUGCUGGAGAAGCUAUCAAUGGAUGGAUUCCACGCAAGGCUGAUUCUUUCGAGAAGUUGGAAAAGGUGAGGCCUUUUUUUUUCUGUGUGUUUUUCUAUAACUAUGACAUGAUUUGAUUUUGUGCCUUGUCUUGAAUUUUCACAUUGUUGCUCACUGUUAGAUUGGACAAGGGACCUAUAGCAGUGUCUACAAAGCCCGGGAUUUAGAGACGAACCAACUAGUUGCACUGAAGAAAGUGCGGUUUGCUAAUAUGGAUCCCGAGAGUGUUCGGUUCAUGGCAAGAGAAAUAAUCAUCCUUCGAAGGCUUGACCAUCCUAAUGUUAUGAAGCUUGAGGGUUUGAUCACUUCAAGAGUAUCAGGGAGUAUGUAUCUUAUAUUUGAAUAUAUGGAACACGAUCUUGCUGGCCUUGCUUCAACCCCUGGUGUUAACUUCUCCGAGGCACAGGUAUUACUAUUUUCUCCACAAUAUAUGCAUUUGCUAUUAUGUGGUUGAUGUUCAUCUAAUGUGUUGUGCUUUGCAGAUUAAGUGCUAUAUGAAACAGCUGCUUCAUGGUCUAGAACAUUGUCAUAGCCGAGGCGUAUUGCAUCGUGACAUCAAGGGCUCUAAUCUUCUGCUUGACCAUAACAACAAUCUCAAAAUUGGAGAUUUCGGUCUUGCCAACUUUUACGGGGGCCAACAGAAGCAGCCUCUCACUAGCCGUGUUGUAACUUUGUGGUACCGCCCACCUGAACUAUUGCUCGGGUCAACAGACUAUGGAGUUACUGUGGAUCUGUGGAGCACAGGAUGCAUAAUAGCUGAACUCUUUACUGGGAAGCCUAUCAUGCCCGGUAGAACCGAGGUAGAACAACUACACAAGAUCUUCAAACUUUGUGGCUCACCUUGUGAAGAGUAUUGGAGAAAAUCGAAACUUCCACAUGCCACCAUCUUUAAACCCCAACAACCUUACAAAAGGUGUGUAGCCGAGUCAUUUAAGAGUCUUCCAUCUUCAGCUUUGGCCCUAGUUGAGGUUCUUUUAGCUGUAGAACCAGAUACCCGUGGAACCACAGCUUCUGCCCUUCAAAGUGAGGUAAAAGCUCUACCAUAACAUUCAACUUUUGUUUAGCGGAAUGCAGUUCUAUACGCUACUUGUCUCACACUUUUGUUUCUUUUUGUUUUGUUUAGUUCUUUACGACAAUGCCUUUUGCAAGUGACCCCUCAAGUUUACCAAAGUACCAACCGAGAAAGGAAAUUGAUGUGAAGGCGCGAGAGGAAGCAAAACGGUAAGAUCAAGAUUCUACUGGUAUCAUAGUGUACAAUUUUUUUCUGAAGAUUUCGCCAUAAUAUAACAAUUUAAAAAGAGCUCGUCUCUGCUGAAUGAACACUGACAUGCCCCAAUUUUCUCUCAUCCACCAGAAAGAAAGGCACUAGCACUAAACAAAAUGAGUCAAAACAAGUAUCUAGAGAAUCUAGAGCUGUGCCAGCUCCAGAUGCCAAUGCUGAGUUGCUGACAUCAAUACAAGUACGUCUGAUUCUGGCAUAUUACACCUACAAAUAUAUUAUGGUUAGAUUCAUGUGAUCUUAAUUAUCUGUCUGUUUUCUUGUUUUUUAAAGAAACAUCAAGGGCAGCAGAAUAAAGAUGCAGCUAGCUUCCGGAUAGAACCACUGAAGAGUGGAACUCCACAAGUCGGUUACAAUCGUUAUGGUGUGUCCUCUGUGAAUAGAAAUGGAGAGAAUGUUAUGAGGGGUUCGAGUCGUUCUCCGAGAAAAGAAUUGAGGACGCAGCGGUCUUUUGUCCAACGUGGAGCAGCCCAAUUGUCAAGAUUCUCAAACUCAGUAGCUGCUAGAGAUGGAUCACAUUUCGCUAUAGCGAAUCCACGGUGGCUUGAAGAUAGUUAUAGGAGCGAUGGUGAUUGGUCCCAACGUUUGCUGGUUAAACCAAAAGGUUCUACAAAACACAAAGAAUCCAAACCGGUAAAAAGGACAUCCAAACUGUGUAAUUGUGCUUUUCCUUGCAGUGGAACUCUUGGUGGGCUAAUCCACAAUUCUUUUGGUUAUCUUUAGGUUUACGGUGAAAAGACAGAGAGAAUGCACUACUCAGGGCCAUUGGUUUCUGCAGGAGGAAACUUAGAUGAAAUGUUGAAAGAACAUGAAAGACAAAUUCAGUUAGCGGUUCGCAAAGCUCGGGCAGAUAAGAAGAUGAAUAGAGACGAUAACAAACAGGCUCAAGCGUUUCUUGCUGCAACUGGCAGGUGAAUGAAAUAUAUCAGAGAAGAAGAAACAAAGGAAGAAACUUUUGAGAUAUCAGGAAAAGUGCUGAAAGGUUUGGCGUUGUAGAGUCAACUGAUCUCUUGUGGGGUCUUGUGUAAAGUCCAAAGCUAAACUUGUGUGAUAUAUUUGUUCUUGUUCUUGUAAAAUUUUAAUUUGUUUAGUUUUAGUAGAAUAAAAAAUAUUAUUGUUAUCUUGGUAUUUCAAUUGCACUAAACGAUCCCACAUAACCAAAUAUCGAUCCUUUUCAAGAUUGGUUCUUUUUUUAAAACGAUCCAACCACCAAGAAACUUAAAUAGAAGGCUUCACUCUCUUGCUUCUUGCAGAACCUGAAAUUAGCUGCUCUGUCUUACUCAAGUACCCUUAUAGUUUCCUUACCUUCAUGUCUAAGCAUAAACCCAACUUCCUCUUUCAUCUCAUCAGCAUGUUUCCUAUAAUUAUAUAGGAACAAGUCUGUAACUUUUGCAGAACCCAAGUUCUUUUGUUUGAAUCAGACAAUGAAACCUAAAGCAAAUCAAAUCCACAAACACAAGCUUCUCCUUGUUUGUCUUCUUGCCACCUUAAUUCUCAUCUUCAUCGUGAGAUCAACUCUGACAUCUUCACGGUCACGCCAAACUUCAGAAGAGACAAGAUCAGCGCGUUGCUCUGGUGCCUGCAAUAAGCUCCCACGUUCCCUCGCACAAGCCCUGAUCCAUUACUCGACUUCAGUUAUCACUCCACAACAAACGCUUAAAGAAAUAGCAGUUAGCAGUAGAGUACUCAGCAAGAAGUCACCCUGCAAUUUCUUGGUGUUUGGUCUAGGCCAUGACAGCCUCAUGUGGAGCUCUCUUAACUAUGGAGGCCGGACGGUAUUUCUUGAAGAAGAUGAGGCAUGGAUAAAACAGAUCAAGAGACGGUUUCCAAUGCUGGAAUCGUACCAUGUUACAUACAACAGUAAAGUCAAUCAAGCCGAUAAUCUCAUAGAAGUUGGGAAAGGACCUGAAUGCACAGCCAUUGGAGAUCCAAGGUACUCAAUGUGUCAACUAGCACUCAAGGGUUUGCCUGCAGAUAUCUAUGAGACUAGUUGGGAUCUAAUCAUGGUUGACGCACCAACUGGCUACUACGAUGAGGCUCCGGGGAGAAUGACAGCCAUUUACACAGCGGGAAUGAUGGCAAGGAACAGGAAACAAGGAGGAGAGACCGAUGUGUUUGUGCAUGAUGUGAACAGGGAAAUAGAAGACAAGUUUUCUAAGGCUUUCUUGUGUGAAGGGUACAUGAAGAAACAGGAAGGGAGACUAAGGCAUUUUGUUAUCCCUAGCUAUAGAGUUGGAUCAAACUCAGAAUCAAAUAGACCAUUUUGUCCAUAGUGAACAACACAUGUUACCUUAGAUCUCCUCUGUUUCUACCAAAUCUCUUUAUCGUCCUUGUUGUUCUUCUACUUAUUCACCAUCAGUUUAUCAGUAUUGAGACGAGCAUAGGCAACAAAGCUAUAGCAAAAAACUAGACAUUCUUAAUGCAUAAUAUCAAGUGUUCCUGUAAAUGAACAUUGGCAACUUUGUUUCGGUCCAGUAAAGCUCCACUUGUAAGAGAAAUCUAGCAAGCUGAACCAGGGUAAAAAAGCAGCACAAAAAAAGCAAUAUUGCUGUAUCCAUAAAAAAAAAAAAACCAGAUCUUACUACACAGUACCAGAAAUAAAAAGUAAAAACUCAGCAAAAUAGUCUAAACAGAUAACUAUCAAGUCCAACUCGUAUAAAACACCAAACAUUCUGCAAACUCCCACGCCUUGAGCCUCUUGACUUGUAGUUGAAACUUGCCCGACGCUUUUCUUUUGGUCUACACUUUUAGGCUGGAGGGCAGACGCUAGUGCUGAUGCAGUUAAAAGUGUUCAGUUUAGUUGACCAGAAACAAAAAGAGUAUCCAUGCAGCUUCUAUUAGGAAGCAAUUGUAAUGAAAUAACAGGCUUUUACCUGGUCACAAAGAUAGCGGUUGGACUGCCAGGAGAUGGAGGAGUCUGCGUCAGCACUGAAGCAAGUGGACCAGCUUUUGAAACAUCAUCAGGGUUACUUGCAGAAUAUAUUUCAACCUCUUCAAGACCAAGUUGUCGCUUGAUCAAAUCCAUGUUACUCUUUAGGACAUCCAUCUCUCCAAAAGGCAACCUCAAAUUUAGAGCCUGAAUGCCAAUAGAUAUUGCCUCGUCCUUCUUGAAUUUAAGGAAAGGCCUGCAAAUCUUUAGGAUUUGUUUGAAGGUUUCUGGUUUUUGUCCCUCCUUCUCCAAUAUCUCCCUCAGUUCUGCAAGUGUCUCUUCAUCCGGGGCAAAACGACAGGUUUGUUGGUCAAAAUUGCUUUGCAGAAUCCUGAGGCAGUGAGCUCUCCAUCCAUCAAAUUGCUCAUUAACAUAUACUAGGCCUUUUAAUUUCCCCUCUGGCACUGCUGUUACCUGAGCACCUUUCUUAGAAGCCUUCUUGGAACCUAAAAGUUGUUUUUGUAGAAGCUUUCUCAUUAACACAAUAGAAUCUUGCAAAUAUUUGUUUGCACUCUUGAGCACCAAAUCUGGCUCAGAUGAUGUUGGCCAGCCUGCUGUUACCACACAACCUUCCUUCUUCAAAAGUUUCCUCCAAACAUAUUCUGCAAACUGGGGACAAAUAGGUUCAAUGAGGCGUGUUUGCACAUCCAUAAAGGUCAGUAUCAGGUCAUGGUUCAUGCCACCACUUCCACAAGAGAGUCUAUACUCAUCACGAGCAGCUUGCAAGUCGUAAAACCCAUUUUUAAGUGCCUCCCUAAACAAACAAUCCUUGUAUGCUUUUUCAGUCAAUCUGAUGGCAAUGUUCAUGUCAUUUUCAAACACUUUAUCUGCAUAUGUAGAUGGAGGGCCCGUUCUUAAAGAGGAUUCAGCAGCCAGAACUUCUUCCAUCCAGGUGAGCUCUUUUGUCAGCCGCAAAAUUGCAGCAUUUGCAGUUUCAAAAACAAAAUUUGCGUCGUCAACACCAUCACCAGCAUCAGCCAAAGAAAACCUUGUAGCAGUGGCGGAGAAUUCUUCAAUAGCCUGGCGCAGGGUUCUAAAAUUUCCAGUUGACUUUGACAUCUUUUCAGAAUUGAGCAUGAUGUGACCAUUACAUCUGAUGCCACGUGGCCAGUUACGAUUCGCCAUCAGUGCAGUGUGGUUGUAGAUAAAAAAUGUCAAAUGAUUCUGAAUAAGAUCCUUCCCUGAAACUCGAAGGUCUAGCGGGUACCAGUAAUCAAAUUCCUGCUUCAUCUUACUCAAGACAGCUGAUGAAAUAUCAGAUGAUUUUGGGUACGGGCCAUCACAGAAGAGAUACUCCCAAACAUCAUCAUUCAUCUGCUGAGGGCUGAUCAGAGACUCGCUACCUUUAUACAUGUCACCUCCACCGUGAAAGAAAUGGGAAACUGUGUAAUAGGCCAUAUAAAGAGAUGAAUCAGAUAAGGAUUCCACAAGGAACUGUUCAUCCCAGGGAAUACGAGUUCCUAGACCAAAAGACCUUGAGCAAGCCCACUGAUUGAGCCAGCUCAGAGUGUGCUCAAAGCCAUGCCUUGUUUCAUCAGAAUAGAGAUUCAUUUUUGAUAAGCAUUCCUCAGCCAUUUUCCGCCAUUCUGAUUCGCCGUACGUUAUGUACCACUGAUCUGUGAGAGCCACAACACAUUCAUCACCUGAUCUAGACAUCACCGGCUUUUCGGGUUCACUGUAUAUGAUUGCCUCACCAGUCUCUAUGAGUUUUGUCUUGAUAAUGGGCUUGAUAUCUUGAACUCUCCUACCAACAAACUCUCCAAUAAGCAUGGUUCCUUCGGUAAAUCCUUUCAGGUAAGUCAACCUUUUGGCCUCUACAAGCUUGUCCUUAUCAUUUUGACUUGCAAUUUUCAAAUCCAAGCAGACCCUUUCAGCAGCCUUAUCCCCAAAUUCCGGAAUGUUGAUAAUUGGUAUGAUUUCAGAGGGCAGCCACUCCUGUUUCACACCAUACUUUUCUCGAAAAGCAGGCUUGCCGUUUAAAUCUUUUAAAGCCAUGUAAUCAUCAGGGGCGUCACUAGGCACACUGGUGACAAUGCCAGUACCUUUGUUGGUCAGAAUGGUCAUCAUAGGAAGGGCAUAGAUGAUGUCGUUGACUGCCAGUGGAGACCUUAAAGGGAGUCCAAUCAGAUCAUACCCAGUCAACUCAACCAAGCAGGAUGGCUUCUGAUGGAUCUUAGAGAAGUUCUGGUAGGCAAGGUUGAGUGCAGCUCUCUCAGUAAGGAUAAAGACAUCAGUUUCAUUGAUUUCAUAAGCUCCAUAUUUCCCAUCAGGCAGUACCCAAGCGUUUGUUUGUCCAUACAUGGUCUCUGGCCUCAAAGUAGCUGCAGCCAAGUAAACUCUCUUUCCUUCCAAAGGACCCAGUUUCAGAGGAAAUGGCUUGACAACUUCCAUCUUUAUGAGUGUAUACUCUUGAGGCUGAACACCUUCGCCAGUAGCACGGUCGUGAUCUGCACAAGGCUGGCCAUCUAAAGGUGAGAAUAUUGUGUAUCUACGGUCUUUAACAACCUUUCCCAUAGAUUUCAACUUCCUCAUUUGCCACCUCACAAAGGCAUCGUAAAAGGGAUUAACAUCAGUGGUGACAAAUGACCGUCUCCAAUCACAACCCAAUCCAUAUGCCUUGAGGUCCUCCAUAGCCAACGGGGGAAAGUAAUACAACCAUUUAUAAGGAUCUUGGAAUUCUGCAAUCUCGCUAUCAGUGAGACCAAAGCUGCGCAUAAUCUCCCACUGAUAAACCUGUCCACCAGACUUGGCAGCCACCUUGGACUUCUUGCCCUUGAACUGACCAGGUAAAGCUGGUGUAUCACUGCUCUCCUCCAGAACUUGAGGAGCUUGGUUGGUUUUGGUAUCAUCAGCAGUGAAGACAGGAGGGUUUCCAAACUGCUGAAUCUCACGAGAAAGCUUGUCGGCGGAAGCCUUAAUUGGCAUACCAGUACAAUGGAAGCCAAAGGGAAGAAGCACAUUAGCUCCUCUAAGACGAUGGUAAGCAGAAGCAAAAUCGACCUUGGAAAGUGAAAAAGCAUGCCCAAUGUGUAGAUAACCAUUCAUGUACGGGAAAGGGAAAGUCGAGAAAAACUUCUCUCCGGGCUUUGGAAGAUUCUCACGAGAUUCAGCCUUAAACACUUGCUCAUCUUCCCACCACUUCUGAACCGCUACCUCAAUCUCAAGAAGACGAUCUCUCCUUGCGUAGCUUUUCGAAUUAGAUGCCAUUACGUGACAGUGCCUACCCAAAUUAAAAACAAAAAACAAACCUCAAUACUUUGGAGAACAAUGAUCGGAUUAACAUCAAACUGAGUAGAGACGCAGAACAUAAAAGAGAAGAUCUGAGAGAAUUACCUUAGGGAUGAGGAACUUCGAGGAAUCAGGAACCGAGUCCAAUGCGAAAGCAAUCGCAGAUUCGAGAGAGACUGAGCCAGUUGGGAGAUAAGGAACUUGAUUUCUAGCUAGGGUUUAUCUUUCAGACUCUCUUUGGAUUUAACCGCAGCCCAGUCACGUCCAAGAAAGUGACACUAUAUUAGGGUAUUCAUCCGGCUUUUUGUUAUUUGCCAAUUUCGGUUCAAUGAUUCGGUAUAGUCUUCUCUUAUUUCCCAAUUUCGGUUCGAUUAUUCGGUUCAGUCAUUUCUUUUAGUAAAUCCGGUCCUAUGUAUUUAGACCGUCGAAAGUCGAAACAAUGGAGAUCAUUGAUUGAAUGGAAUGGGAUAGCGACAAGUUAAGCUUCAGAUUUCCAUUCUAAUUUAUUUUAAAAGAACUCAAGUUACGCAUAUAGAAAUGUAAAGAAAAUCCAGAGACUAUCAGAUGUAGAGUUCUCGACUUGGUUUGGUUGUAUAGAAUGUGCAUGCAAUGCAUGUUAGAUUGUUCUUAACUUUGAUAAGCUAUAAAAUUGUCUAAACACUCAUAGACCUUUCAUCAAAACAAGAUUUUGUUUAAUAUAACCAUAAACUCACUUCUCCGGACUUUAAACCUUUGAUCAAAUUAAGAAAUAAAUAUCGUAACUAUAAAAUUAAAAACAAAAUUUUGAUACCAAAAACAAUGCAAAAAAUCAAACUUAAAGUUGUCUCUUCACACGAGGUUAUCACCGCGUUCCUUCUCGUUAGCCUUGCUCUUAUCGUCUUCUUUCACUGGAACUUUCUUCUCGUUAGCCUUGCUCUUACCAUCUUCUUCUUUCGCUGGAUCUUUCUUCUCCAAAAUAAUAUCUCCUGUUUCCUCACGAGGUUUCAAGAACCGGAAGAGCCUUCCGACAAAACUGGAUACAAACGCCACGAUUAUUAUAGCUAUGACGAUCAAACACCAUAACAUGAUUGAGUUCUCCAUCGUUUUCUUUGUUUUCGAUUAUAAAAGAAAAAGGUAGUAAACGCAGAGUAGACUUGUUUCGUGGUGAUCAAACUUGCUUGCGAGUAUAUAUAUAUAUAGGCGGGAACUACCGGAAAACUUGGAAAUUUACCAUUUUCAUAAAUAAAAACUUGCUUCAAACUAAUAUUUUAUUAUCCUUUUUUCUCAAUCAGUUACUGGUAUAUUUCCUGUUUCAGAAUUUCACAAACUAGGAAUAACAAAAUACAUAUACUACAAAAGAAAAUAUUUUUGUUUGCCUGUCUUCUUCGUAAUUUUCUUUAUUUGAUUUUUCCUUUUUUUAAGAAAAUCAAAACUUCAAAUAACUGCCUUCAAAAUAUUUAAUUUUCAUAAUUUGUAUGAACGAUUCCCUACUCCACAUUUGAUGUCGAAUGUCAUUUUAGAGAGUUGUUAUCAACAAAAAAAAAAAACAAAACAAAAAAACAAAUGCAACUUGGAUAUUUUUAGCUAGUAUAUGUAACACAACACAAGCCUUCAAAUAAAGUCCCACAUGUAUUGGCUUUUUAAAGUGAGACACAAACAAAAGCCUUUCAAGACGAAGAGCAACAAGGCUUCUUCGCGUUUGAAUCAGAAGUAGCAGCAACAUCAAUUGUUUGGCCUUCCUUGACGUUGGCAUUUGCAGUUGCCUGGUCUGAAGAUAUCGAUUUCUUGCUGAUGAUCCUGUAAAUCUCCGAGAGAAUCGUCUGAAAAGCUUUCUCUACGUUUAAUGCCUCAAGGGCCGAUGUCUCAAUGAAAGAUAAGCCUUCUUUCUCUGCAUAGCUCUGAGCAUCCUCUGUAGCAACUGCUCUAAGAUGCUUCAGAUCUGUCUUGUUUCCAAUCAACAUGAUCACUAUGUUGGAAUCAGCAUGGUCUCUGAGUUCUUUUAACCACCUGCUUACAUUCUCAAAGGUUGUUGGCUUAGUGACAUCAUAGACCAAAAGAGCUCCAAGUGCACCUCUGUAGUAGGCGCUUGUUAUGGCUCUGUAGCGUUCUUGCCCAGCAGUGUCCCAUAUCUGAGCUUUCACAGUCCUUCCUUCCACCUUAGAACAAAGAUCAUGGAUUUCCCAAGAGGUUAAAUAACGAGCAGCAGCAAAUGCGUAAAGAAUACACUGAUAAAAUUAGCAAACUUGCAGCCAAAUUCCACAACAAAACUCGAGACUGCGAAACAACAACCAUGAUUCUUCUUCAUACUUGAUUAUCAAAUUUUACACUUUUCAUUGUCUAAUUAGAGAAGUAAAAUUGUGAUAUAGAUCAAUGUCAGUAUUUACUAUGAAGAGAUUCUUAGAUCUGCCUUCAACAAGGUUUUAGAUCUGACAUGUGAGGCAGCCUCACGCUAAACUAGCCAAACGCUAAUACCAUAGUACAAGAAGCUUGGUAUCAUUAUCAACACUAAAUAAUCAGAUUGCAAAGCACACAAGUAAACAUCAAAAUUCAAAACCAAUACCAGAUGUUCCUACACACACAAUUGGCUGCUUCCGAGUAUUUCGAAAACAUCUUAAACACAUGAACGGGAAAUGAAUACAAAGAAGAUAGACAUAGAAAAUGACCACACAAACGGAUCGAACCACAAAGCAACCCAAAAAUUAAAGGACAAGUCCAAACCGAAACUUACAAGUAAUCCUAGAUCGAGAAACAACUGAGAUUUACACGAAAGAUAAAGAGAGAUGAGUAGACAUACUUGGAGAGUACGAGUAGCGAAUUCGACGCCGAUGGUGGAUUUGGAUUCUAAGCAGAACUCAUUGCGAGUGAAUCUAGAGAGGAGAUUUGACUUGCCGACACCGGAGUCUCCGAUCAAAACCACUUUAAACAAGUAGUCGUAUUCUUCAUCCGGUCUUCUCGCCAUUGUUACACUUUUUCCGAGAAUAGCUAUCGAUUUGGGAUUUUGAAAAAGCCAAGAAGAGAAGGAGAAAGAAGAAUGAAAUAAUAAGUUUCUUACAUAAAUUAUUAAUUUAUUAUCGAGUUCUCGAGUUUGGGCUUAAAAACUUCAAAAAAGGCUAAAUCUACUAUACGAAUUCGCGUUUUGUCUUCUUCUUAUAGUAAAAAUUUAUGGCAUCUUACAUUUUCACUAUAUUAAUCAUAGCCUAAGCACCACCAUUGAAAAAAACGUUGUUACAAAUGUCGAAUAUGAUCAGUAACUUUUGUAGAAGAGCCGAGACAAAACAAAAAAUUGUAUUCAAACUUUUCACGUAACCGACGAUAGUCAAUACAAUAAUUAGAUUCAAAAUGAAAGCGUUAUGAAACAAAUGCGUCAAACACCAAAAAAGAAAGAUGUAGACCGAAACGAACUUCAAUGAAUGGGAAUACCGGAAUAGGAUUAUGACAAAAACUGGAAAAGUAAUAAGAGAGCUUAACCGGAAAAUAAAACAAAAUCAGAAUUAAAACCGAGCCAAACCAGAGGAAUGCACUUGUACAUUUUAAAAACCCUAGUUCAUAUAUCAUCUCGUCAACACUCCUUUAUAGCUCUCUCCGCCUCAUAUCUUUGCUUCUUCUCUCGAUUUGCUCUCUCGGAAGAUUUUCCCAACGCCUGGUAAGAUGCGUCGGUCUUUUAUCUCUAAUCAGCUCAUAUUCAUAUGCAUGAUCGUAUCAAUUGCGAGCUCACUGCUUGAUGUUUUCCUUGGAACCAGAUCCGAUUUCAAAACCCCGGAGUUGGUAUAUUUUCCGUCUGAGCAAUGGCUUUGGUGAGUUCUCUAUGACUCUCUCUUGAUACGAUCUCAUCUUUGUACUGAUAUGUUGCUACAUUAAUUGUAGUAAUCCUAGGGUCUAAGUCGUCGAAAGAAUUGUUUAUAUACCAAUUUGAUUAAAAUUAAGCUAGUUUGGAUAUCUAGCUGAUGUUUACUAGUGUUAUGUUUUUGAUGUGGGAUACAUACAUAUCUAGCUGAGAAUGAACGAUCAGUUUUGCUGAUAAAUUGCGAUUGCAGGUCUUGCACACGUACAAGGGAAACAAAAGUGCUGAUAAGGCACUCAUUGCAGCAGAGUACGUUGGUGUGCAGAUCGAUGUGCCCUCUGACUUUGAGAUGGGUGUCACUAACAAAACCCCCGAGUUCCUUAAAAUGAACCCUAUUGGCAAGGUUUGUCAAUACUGCUGGUUGCUUAAUUCCUGGAAUAUAUAUUAGUCUAUUUCCAGCUAACCAAAAGCGAUCUGAUCUUGCUAGGUUCCUGUUCUUGAGACUCCGGAGGGAUCAGUAUUUGAGAGCAACGCCAUUGCCCGUUAUGGUAAUCUAUUCAUAUCUUUAUCCUUCAUUUGUCUCUCCAUAUCUAGUUUAAUUGCUUGUCGGUUAUAAUGAUUCUUUUGAUAUCCCAUGGCAGUAAGCCGAUUGAAUGGUGAGAAGAACUCUUUAAACGGUUCUUCCCUGAUUGAAUAUGUAAGUAUCUGGUUUUCUCUGGGGUUACUCUUCUCUUAUCCAUUUGCACCUCCUCUAUUGUUUGUCAACCUAUUUGUUAGUAUUGUCAAUAAUUAUCUGCAUGUAUCUUUUUGCAGGCACAAAUUGAGCAAUGGAGCGAUUUCUCAUCAUUGGAAAUCUAUGGAAACAUCUUGAGAUGGUUUGGCCCAAGAAUGGGGUUUAUGCCAUACAAUGCUUCGGUAAGCUUUUGUGAUGGCAAUCUAUGUACUCUUUUCACUAUAUAAAUAGUACACCUGUUUUUCUCACCCCUGAUUGUUAUACAAAUGAAGGCUGAGGAAGGGACUAUCUCUGCGUUGAAGAGAGCACUUGAUGCUCUAAACACACAUCUCGCUUCCAACACUUACCUCGUUGGACACUCUAUUACCCUUGCCGAUAUUAUUACUGUCUGCAACUUGAACUUGGGAUUUGCUACUGUCAUGACCAAGAAAUUUACCUAUGAAUUCCCACACGUUGAGAGAUACUUCUGGACCGUGAUUAACCAACCCAACUUCAAGAAAGUGGUGGGUGAUGUCAAACAGACUGAAUCUGUCCCUCCUGUUGCUUCCAAGAAAGCUGCCCAGCCGGCCAAACCCAAGGAAGAGCCUAAGAAAAAGGAAGCCCCGGCAGCAGAGGCCCCUAAGCUUGCUGAAGAGGAAGAGGCACCAAAGCCUAAAGCCAAGAACCCUCUUGACCUUCUACCACCAAGCCCAAUGGUACUGGAUGAUUGGAAGAGGCUGUACUCAAACACCAAAUCUAACUUCCGUGAGGUUGCUAUUAAAGGUGUGUAGUGAUAUCUUUCCUUGGUUUUAAACUUGCUAUCAGGAAAUGCAAGGAAUUUGUUGAGCUGUUAGAAUCAAAUAUGCAUCAUCAUUAUGUCUAAUAUUGUGGCUCAAAUGCAGGAUUCUGGGACAUGUAUGACCCAGAGGGAUACUCGCUAUGGUUCUGUGACUACAAGUACAACGAUGAGAACAUGGUGUCAUUUGUCACGCUCAACAAGGUAGGUGGGUUCCUUCAGCGCAUGGACUUAGCACGUAAAUACGCCUUUGGAAAGAUGCUGAUUUGCGGGUCGGAGGGUCCCUUCAAGGUGAAGGGUUUAUGGAUAUUCCGUGGACCAGAGAUCCCUAAGUUCAUAAUGGAUGAGGUGUACGACAUGGAGCUGUAUGAGUGGACUAAGGUUGAUAUCUCAGAUGAAGCACAGAAGGAGCGUGUUAGCCAGAUGAUUGAAGAUGCAGAGCCAUUUGAAGGUGAGGCUCUCUUGGAUGCCAAGUGCUUCAAGUGAAAAGAGAGAAUGGUUGGGUUUUGCAGUCGAGGCUUACAUAUAUCUCUCUCUUAUCUUCUCCUUAGGGAUUUUGCUCUGUGACUUGUGUCGCUUAUACUGUUUUUCUCUCUUUCUAAUUGAGUGUUAAAGACAAGCUAUGAUCUUUUUGGUUCUUUUGUUAAUGUUUCAUGUGUUUUUUUUUCUUGCUGUGCCAUAAAGACCAGCUUUAAAAAAUAUAGACCUGGUAAUUUCGAAGUUCUGUUCCGGUUAGUGUUGAGUCUACCCUGGCGAUAGGCAAAAACUGUUCUUGUUUAUCGGCUUCGACGCGUUUCGGUCAAAUUCUGUGCAUUGUUAGUCUUCGUGCUAAACAUUAGGUCAAGUCUUUUGACAUAUUGGGCAAGUGUUGCCAAUUAAAAAAAUUGUUACAUAGUUAAUUUUGAAGAAUAAGUCGUAGUUAAUUUUGUAGAUAUGACUUGUUAAUUAUUUUGUUCAUAAAAUUUUCUUCAGGUCAUUUGUAUAAGUUAUUCACUCUAGAAUUAAAAAUAACAGUUAAAAAUUAAAAAUUAAAGGUAUAUCAUCAUCAAUUAAUUACAUAAUUCAUUAAAGUUGGUCUCAGACAAAAAUGAAUUGUUCUUUACUACAAGGCAUAUAAUCUCUGUAAUUGUUUUAUUUUCAACAUCAAAAGAGUUGUUCGUUCUACCAGAAGAAUUUGUUCUUUGCCGCAGCAAAAGAUCGAUCCGUCCUUGUUGGUUUCAAGCGAAGUUUAUCGAUAGCCAAGUACAGGAGCAGAGGGAGAGAGAGAGAGCGAGAUAUGAGAGAGAGCUCUGCAAGUGAUCUAUCAUGGCGGCGUUUGAUAUUCUUCGCUUCGAUUGGUUUGCAGUUCGUCUUAGGUUCGUCUUCUUCAGAUCUAUCUGAUUUCAUCCUCAAAUCAAUUUUUCUGUCGGUUUUGUAGAAUCAUCGGAUUUUUAUGUUCGUUUGGGGAUUUAGGUUUCGAAUUCGCGAGAUUUAUGUCAAUUUUAGCUCAACUCGGCUCUUCCCUAGAUUUCGUGUGCAUAGAGCUCUUUUGCGAUUCGGAAGCAAGUCAAUUUCCCUGUUGAUUUAGAUCUUCGCCACACAGUUGCUAAACUUUGUGCUUAAAACAUACUUAAUUAAGCAAAGAAGAUUGUACUGUUCAAUUUCAUGGCUUUGGUUUCUAUGGUUUUUAUGUGGCCAAUAGUUGUGUUACCUUGUCCUAGAUGCGAAACCAUGUUCCUGAUUUGAAGAGUUUGUCUUUGCGUUUCAUUUCUUGUAACUACCACAAUGGUAUUUGUAUAAUUCAUCAAUAGAUUCAGGGUGAUGCCGCAUUUGAGUUGUGAGACAUGUAUUACCAGUUUUUGGUAAAAGUCAUUGAAUCUCGUUGCUCUCUCUAGUUUCAAAGAAGUAGGCUAAUGCGUAUCCCGUAAACUCUGUAAAUGCUUGUUGCAAUUGAUCUUGUUCUAUGUUGUCAAUGUGUGUAGUUGUUGCUCCUCUUUAGUCGAAGAUAAGAAACAUGCUAUCUAUGUUGAGGAUAUAUUGUGUAGCUUACCUAAAAAUUUCGUUAAAUUCUUAGAUGUCAUCUACUAAAUCUUCUGAUAUGAUAUUUGCAGGCCUAUCAGGUGAUUCCAAGAAUACGAAUGCAGAGUCUCGUUCUUCUUCAAGCAAAACAGGCACAAAAGUAAUCCUCGUACUAGUCGGAUUUGUGGUUGUGGCUAUGUUCUCGUUCUUCCUAUACAAGCUAUGGCAGAAGAAGAAAAGAGAUGAGCAGUAUGCUCGUCUGUUGAAGCUGUUUGAGGAAGAUGAUGAACUGGAGGUUGAAUUAGGUCUUCGAGAUUAAACACGCAACUUCGUCAACAAAGGCCUCAUGUAUGUUUGUGUUCGUUUGUCUGGUCAUGUAGGUGGAACUUAUGGGCAUUUAAAUUUGAAGUAUAUAUAUAUGCACACUUUGAUGGGUAACUGAUCUAGCUGUCUUGUCACUGAUCAUCAUCAAUUCUUCAUUACACUCUCUAGACGAUUGUUUUCGGUUUGGAAAUAAACCUAUGAAACUUGUGGAAUUCUCUACUUGUUUAGCUUUAUUAGGUCCAAUUUUGUACAAUUAAAUUUUCUAUCUUGAGAGGGGAUUCCUGCAACCUUGCUCUUCUUUUGGGAUAGAGUAAAUAUACAUUAGUUACUUAGUUAGAACCCCAAGGGAACAUGUAUAAAAGAAAAUUGGCAUGGUGAAGUAUACAAAACUUAUGGUGAGCAGUUUCAAAGAAAGUCAAAACCAGAGGCGAGAGAGUGAGUUAAGUGAAGAAAAUUUAAAACAUAGAAAUGAAAUUAAUCUUGGGUUUCAAACUUAAAUAAAGGUUACAUGAUUAAAAACGAUAUUACAUUUCAUAAACACCAUUAUUAGUUUAUUACCGACUGGUUAAUGGUCAUCUCAACUAACCAACAAAAUUUUCAAAAAUAAAGAAUAAACUUAAUGACAAAAUAAAUUAAUUGAGUCGUCCAAACUCCAAACGUUAGAACUUAGAAUAUCAUCACCUCCGCGGAUAGAUGCAUAGAGAACCUUUUGCCCGCCCCACACGACCAUAGCAUAGUUUCUGUCCCAAGCAGAGAAAAAGAAACAUUGAUCAUCUUUCAGGUCAAAGCCUUAUUGUCCAGUCUUAGCACGCUUGCUGUUGAAAGGUGACAUGCUUGGACUCAGACAAGGGCUCAAGCUCGGACUCGGACUCUCCUCCCUUAGUGUACCAUUCAGAGCAGCUAACUCCUUCAGCUGUUCCCUCUUGUAGUGAUCCAUUGAUUCGUCCUGUAGAGAGAAAAUCCAAAACCAUGUGAACAUAAGGUUUGGAGUAACAUAACCAUAUAGAUAUGUUUGCAAUUUUGUGAUGGUAAUGUACCAUUGGCUUUAGGAGUGAUUCGAGGAAAUGCACUGCAUGCUCCAAUCGAGAGUUUAUUAUGUCCUCUGGAAGCUCAGCUUCGAUCAGUACAUGUAGUGGCUCACAGAGAUGCUCAUACCCUGGCUUACCUUUUAGUUUUUCCUCCUGCAUGGAAGUAACAAACGAAAUAAACAAGCCUUGACACCUCAUGGUAUAUAAUUAAUGUAUGGAAAAUAUAUAAAAAACUCAGAAGAAAUGAAUUUCAGUUUUGAAACAGAGCUUUCCCUAUUCACACUUCUAAAGAUGUUAGUUGAUACAAAACCUAAAACUCAAACACUUCAUUUCAUGUACAGGCUUCCAAAUUCUAAAUAUCUUCAAAUGUAUACAAGAGUGGGAGCUGAUGAUGCAGCCAAAAACGCAUCAUUACUUCAACAAUAAAUUGCUAUGCUAAAAGACAGUGGCAUGCAAACAAAUUGCUCCUAACGACCGUAAGAAAAUUCUGCGUAUAUGACACAUGUCUAUAAAACUGAUUAAUAGGUAAAAACAUAGGAGACAAAGUGAAGUUUUGAACUGUAAGAAGUCAUCUACACUUGGGUUAACACAGUUACAAAAUGGAAUCCUUCAGGGAAUCAAUAAACAAAAGCCAAACCUUGACAGUAUCCUUCACAGAUCCUCGCCCUCUAAUAAACACCCUGCAGUGGGUUGCUAGCUCAACUCUUUUUAGGGAGUUUCCACGUGGCCCAAGAAUCCGCCCAACAAAAUUAUACUGCAACGUUCAAUGAAUAAAAACUCUACAACAACCCAAUUAUAAUAACAUAUUUGGGUAACUAUUUAAAACUUACGCUAGGAUAUUUAUCCACUGGCACAUCAAGUCUAAUAACUCUUUUCACAAUGGGUGGGUUAGGGAGUCCAGGCAUCCCAACCCAGCCCACAGAGGCAGGAGCACGAAAUGGAGAAGCUCUCUGGAGGUGACAGUUUUCCUGAAGAAAGCAAAAGCAAUCAAUAUUAAACAUAAAUCUAUUAGCAGCACCAUCAUAAUUCAACACGAGUCAGUUAUCUGACUACAAAUACCAGCAGUGGCUUACCUCCGCUUGCAUCAUUGACCAUCCUUCUAAAUCAAUCUUUCCAUUUGUCGGCUGGCCAAGAGAUCUAAAUGGACUGCCAUGCUCAAAUCUAUCGAGGUCAGGAAAACUGGAGACUCUCCUGAUUUCUGCACAGACGACAGCAAAGCAUGCAAUUAAGCAAACGUAUAAAAGAAACUGUAACAGUUGCACCAAUCACUUGUUCACCCCAGAAAUUUCUUAAUUUAGUGUUGCACACACUCAAGGAAAUACUUAAUUCAAAAGCAUAUAGCUUUAUAAUACAGCCCACCUUGAUUUAGCAGUCUGAGGCAAUUUGGCAUAACUUGCAAAAAGGGACCCAACUUUUGUCUCUCUUGCAAUAACUCAGUCAGGUACCUGAAUAAGGUUUAAAACAAAAAACAAUAAGUUUCACCGGAUACUGCAUUGUUGUGUAUUGAAACUAUCAAGUGGUUCACAUUUGAGUCACCAUGAAAAACUAAACUUCCAAAAAUACAUCUGUAAGUUCAUUUCUAUAACAUUUGAAACUAUAUAGCUUUCUUCUUAAAACCUUCGAGUACAUUGUUUAGAGGAAUAAAUUGUGAAAAGGCGACAUUUUGAAGUGAGACUAUGAUUAAGAAAUUGGAUCUGCGUGAACAGAAUCAUUCUAUCGAUACUCAUCCAAUCAAAGGGAACAAUACCCAACAAUAAAAAACACGCACACACUUCAUUUUCAAGUAAAGCAGCAAGUCCACAAGAAACCGAUCCACAACAACCAAUCUAAUUUCGUCCACAGAAAAAAAAAAAAAAAGAAGAAGAAGAAGAAGAAGCUCACACAGAUUCACAUUAGCAAAAAAUAGAAGUAGAGAAAGUGGAAACCUUUCACGAUCAGUGGGAGGGCAAGGGGAUCGAUUGGGAGAAGCACGGAAUCCAGAAAGAGGAUACUGGAAGAAACUACCAGGAGAGAUCCUCUCCUCCAUGGCCGUGAAACCAGCGCCGGAUUCCAUCAUCUCUACACAGUCUGCAAAAUCCACUCAGAUUGUUAAGUAAGAAGCGCAAUAAGAAGAAUAGAGAGAAAGGGAGAAGACUGACCGGGGAGAUAGUGAAGAGAAGAUGCGGCGGAGGAUCUGACGCCGAUCUCAAGGUCGAGAAACGUGUAUUGAACUGGGUAAGAAGUAGGUGUGGACUGUAGGAGUGGCCACAGCAAAGAGGAGAAGAAGAAGAAGGAAGAAGUAGGCAAAGUAGGGAAGGGAGUCAAAAGCCCUACGCACGAUGAGAGAGUCUCUCUCUCCUCUCUCCUCUCUCUCUCACCGCAUUUUCGAUAUUUUCUAUUUUUGUCUUUGUUUCCUUCUUUAUUCUUUUUUAGAUAUUGUGUGAUCUUAUUACGGUUUUUGCGUUUCGAUAAUACUUGGGCCUUCGGCCACUUUUAAUGGGUCUACCUUCCUUAAACUUGAGGCCUUUUAGAUAGGGCCGGUGGUGCCUUGCACAACUCUGUGUUGGCGGAUACAUCUUUGAAUAACAAGUAUUAUUUUAUCAUUACAUGCCGAAAUGCUAAAAUAAAAUUAGUCAAAUAAAUUUACCUAUAACAAUAAUCGACACGAUUUAUAGUGUUGUCAACAUCCGUAUUCUUUACCGUAAAUGAAUUGUUUAAUGAAGGCAGCUUAAUUUGUGAUUAUAUGCUUCUUCCAUGUGCCUCCUUCUCCGAAACUACACUCUCUGCAACUUAUCAAUCUCAUCUCAUCAAGGCACACAAAGAGGAGAGAGGACUUUCAUAUAUGCAAGUAUAAUACAUCACAGUAUUAAUUAGUACAUUAGUACUGGAAUAAAAGACACAGAAACUGGAUCCAAGAUGGCAAUGGCCGAACCAUUUAAGAUACUCAAAAAAUUAACAGCAAUGGACAAAAGACCAAAAAUUGUAACUGCUUCCUUCCAAUUUCAUGCAGCAAUCUGAUAUAGCCUCAUAGAAUCAGGUAUGAAGGACCAACACAAAACUUCUACAUGCCACAUGAACCUCUACAAAAUACAUCCACACUCUAGAAAUACAAAGGACUUUUUUAUCGACACGACAAUUGAAACAUACAAAUCAAAACAUUAAGGACCCCAACAUAGGGAACAAUACACAGUUUAGAAAACCUAAAUCAACAAAUCGUCUGUACCCAUAAAUUAUAAUCAAAGGGUAUGAAAACAUUGCAAAAAAAAAAAGAAUGAAAAGAGUAUAAAGUUAUUCCCAGAUAUCACCUAUGAUGAAAAGACGACCUUUGGUGAUUAAUAGGAAAAUUUCAGUCGUAUCCAGGAAAAAAUAGUCAGAUGUUAGCUAUUCCGGUGAUCUUUUGAAGCUCUGUAGAGCUGAUUGACUAGUGAUUUGUAAGAGGCCAAGUCAGCUACAAUCCCUAUCUCAGGUUUCUGUUUAUAAUGCUUCGAUGCAUUUGCAUGUCUAUGAUGACCUUCCAGUAGGAUGUUGUAUGUGAUGUCAUCCGGAACAGCUCCUAUAUUAAGCAUGGCAUCUAGCAACAUGUCAGCAUUCUUCAUCUGUCCCAACUUGCAUAGUCCAUUCAGCAGAACAUUAUACGUCACAACACUAGGAAUAUGCCCAUCGCUCUGCAUUUCCUUGAGCAGUUUGAAACCGGUUUGAACAUCACCUUUCUUGCAGAAUGCAUCCAUCAUCAUUGUAUAGGUUACAUCAUCCGGCUUCAUACCAGCUCGCAGCAUCUCCCUCAAAGCUCUUUCAGCAUCAAUGACUCUUCCUUCUUUGCACAUUCCACAAAUAAGAGCUGAGAAACCCACCCUAUCGAGUUCUAUCCCAUUCUGAUCCAUUUCCUUCCUUAUCUGCAAAGCUGUUUCUACGUCUCCUCCUCUACAAAAUCCAUCUAUAAGAGUUGUGUAUGUAAUUUUGUCAGGUCUCAGACCUCCACGGAUCAUCCCAUCAACUAUGUUCCUUGCAGCCACCAAAUCACCGUUCUUGCAAAAGCCAUUUACUAAAGUAUUAUAUAGAACAAUAUCAGGCUGAAGACCCCGACCUAACAUCUUCUCAUAACUUUCUUUCAUCAAGUCAAUCUGUCCACUCCUACUAUGACCAUGAAUCAAAGUAGUAAAAAUAACAUCAUUUGGGAUCAACCCUCUCUCACACAUCUCAUCAAACAGUUCAUGUGCUCUAUCCAUCUUACUCUCUUUACACAAUGCAUUAAUCAAGGCACUAUAGGUGAAAACAUCUGGGUGUGCUCUGCUUUUCUCCAUAUUAUGUUUGAGCCUAAACCCUUCAUCUGAGUUUCCCAUCUUACAGUAACCAUUUAUCAAAGUGUUGAAACUAACAACUGAAGGCUUCAAGCCCCUUUUAGCUAUUUCGUCGAACACCAUCUGGGCACCAGAUAUUUUGCCUUCUUUACAAAAUCUGUUCAUCAAAAUAUUGAAAACAUAGACAUUCAAGGGAAAGCCAGCAUCCAAAAUUUCCAUAUAGAAUCCCCAAACAGUCCCAGUUGGAUUCAGCUUCAUCAUCCGAUCAAGCAAAUUACCACAGCCACGAACUGGAACAACGAAUUUAUGCUUCCGAGAUAGCCUAAAAGAUUGAAUAGCAUCGGGUAUGAAUCCUUGUUCCGUGUACGUGAUCAUCAAAGCAUCAACAAGGAAAUCAAACAUAGGACUUCCUCUCAUUGCUACCAAAGCAACGAAAACUGAAGAAGCCGAGUUUUUGCCUUUACGAGAGACGACGAGCUCGAUAAGUGAUUGUGCUUCCGCGAACAUUUUGUGAACAGCAAGAAAACGAGCCAUGGCGAAGUAGGAUUCAGCGGUAAACCCAAAUCCAGGCUGAGAUGAGAUGAAUUUGAAGAAAGCGAAGAUAGAACGGUGCGGGAGGGAGAGAGGGUUGCGGUUGAUGAGAUCCACAACAUGACGAACGCUGAGCGAAGGUAGAACCUUCCUGAUGGAGGGGCAAGCAGUAAAACAAGAGAACUCCAAUGGCGGAUCCUUGUAAGCAUCUCUGAUGGCAAUUGAGAGUUUGACAAGAACUGGGUCAGCGUCGUUGUCAGCUUGAGAAAUUGAUUCUGGAGAGUACCAUGUUGAUGAGAGAGACGAUACACGAGAAAUUCUCUGAGAGUGAGAUCGAGUGAGUGUGCUUCUCAGAAAUUCGAUUCUGAACAUCUCUGACUCUCUCAGUUUCUCCGGCGCCGGCUACUUGGAGGGACUUUUGAAUUUAAAAAGUCAGCGAUAAUUAAACCAGGUUUUUGAAUAAUCCGUUAUGUUAAGACGGUAUGUUUCGGUUUGCUUUAAGUUCUAUGGUUCAAUGUGAGACAUGUCACAGAAAGCUCGAGUGUCAUACUAUUAUCAGUACUGGUAAGAGAUAAAAAUGUCUCCUUUAACAUCUUGAUUGAAAGCUGCUUUAUUCAAACAAAAGCAUUUGAUCAUCAUCAAAUAAAGAUGGUGGUAAAUGAUAACACAAAUAAAAGAAAGGAGAUAAGGAGUGUGAUGGUUAUAAACGAGACAAAAGUUUUGCUUCAUAGAAGAAUAUCUGGGCAUUCUACAGAAAUUGUAGCUAAGACACAUGAAGAGAAACUCAGAAACGCAAGAAGAAACUGCAAAAUACUGGGAAGGUAGAACUAAUAGCCUCCCUUGAGAUCGUUGACAACAUCGUAAGGGAUUGGAGUGACAGUCUCCAAGGUCAUGCCUUCAACCAUGAAUCCUGGNNN